rnacentral:lncRNA from 1 species
AUGAAUUGGCUAGGUGGUUCCUCUUCUUGUUUUGUUUUGUAAAUAUGUUGUGUAUCUUGUCUCUUAGAGUUGUGUUCUGAAAAGAGAGAAAAGAAAAGAGACAAGAUGAAAAAAAAAAGGAAAAAAAAUACAAAAAAAAUGAGAAAAUAAAAAAAUUGUUGUGUGAAUAAUGGAGUCAAGAAAAGGAUUGAAUUGGAGGUUUUGGGUGUGCUUGAAUGUGUUUACACUUGUUCCCCAUUGCUCCUCUAUUCCUUUUGGUUUGUAGCUUC